rnacentral:rRNA from 1 species
GACGAACGCUGGCGGCGUGCUUAACACAUGCAAGUCGAACGGAAAGGCCCUGCUUUUGUGGGGCGCUCGAGUGGCGAACGGGUGAGUAACACGUGAGUAACCUGCCCUUGACUUUGGGAUAACUUCAGGAAACUGGGGCUAAUACCGGAUAGGAGCUCCUGCUGCAUGGUGGGGGUUGGAAAGUUUCGGCGGUUGGGGAUGGACUCGCGGCUUAUCAGCUUGUUGGUGGGGUAGUGGCUUACCAAGGCUUUGACGGGUAGCCGGCCUGAGAGGGUGACCGGCCACAUUGGGACUGAGAUACGGCCCAGACUCCUACGGGAGGCAGCAGUGGGGAAUAUUGCACAAUGGGCGGAAGCCUGAUGCAGCAACGCCGCGUGCGGGAUGACGGCCUUCGGGUUGUAAACCGCUUUCGCCUGUGACGAAGCGUGAGUGACGGUAAUGGGUAAAGAAGCACCGGCUAACUACGUGCCAGCAGCCGCGGUGAUACGUAGGGUGCGAGCGUUGUCCGGAUUUAUUGGGCGUAAAGGGCUCGUAGGUGGUUGAUCGCGUCGGAAGUGUAAUCUUGGGGCUUAACCCUGAGCGUGCUUUCGAUACGGGUUGACUUGAGGAAGGUAGGGGAGAAUGGAAUUCCUGGUGGAGCGGUGGAAUGCGCAGAUAUCAGGAGGAACACCAGUGGCGAAGGCGGUUCUCUGGGCCUUUCCUGACGCUGAGGAGCGAAAGCGUGGGGAGCGAACAGGCUUAGAUACCCUGGUAGUCCACGCUGUAAACGGUGGGUACUAGGUGUGGGGUCCAUUCCACGGGUUCCGUGCCGUAGCUAACGCUUUAAGUACCCCGCCUGGGGAGUACGGCCGCAAGGCUAAAACUCAAAGGAAUUGACGGGGCCCCGCACAAGCGGCGGAGCAUGCGGAUUAAUUCGAUGCAACGCGUAGAACCUUACCUGGGUUUGACAUGGAUCGGGAGUGCUCAGAGAUGGGUGUGCCUCUUUUGGGGUCGGUUCACAGGUGGUGCAUGGCUGUCGUCAGCUCGUGUCGUGAGAUGUUGGGUUAAGUCCCGCAACGAGCGCAACCCUUGUUCACUGUUGCCAGCACGUUAUGGUGGGGACUCAGUGGAGACCGCCGGGGUCAACUCGGAGGAAGGUGGGGAUGACGUCAAGUCAUCAUGCCCCUUAUGUCCAGGGCUUCACGCAUGCUACAAUGGCUGGUACAGAGAGUGGCGAGCCUGUGAGGGUGAGCGAAUCUCGGAAAGCCGGUCUCAGUUCGGAUUGGGGUCUGCAACUCGACCUCAUGAAGUCGGAGUCGCUAGUAAUCGCAGAUCAGCAACGCUGCGGUGAAUAAAUUCCCGGGGCU